UUGGAUGGCAACUGGCAGACGUCUGCCACAGGGACCUUGACCCCAUCAAACUUGGCUCCUCAUUUAUAGAAACUGAUGGUGGUGGUGGCCAAGUUUUCACGAUGCAGAACUCUUCUAAAGCGACGCAGGGCAUCUAGCGUUCCUGAGCCCUGCCUAUUAAGUGCCACAGUGCCCCUAGGGAUGCGAGUGCCCAACUACCCCACUCUUUUCGAACUGUCCCAGGGGAUAGUACUACACUGUUGAGAUCCUCUUGGCAAGAUGAUUUAAAGUCCAAGGAAGAGCUGCGUUCUAUCUCGAGGUACCCCUUCUGAUCUGCCCCUUGGAUGAUCUGAAGAGAAACCCUCCCUGCUGAUAAACUGGAUCAAGGCUGCUAUGAGCCUCCAACUUCUCCCCCAGAGCACUCCUGACAACAGAGUGUGAACACCACUCCAGCCUGCCACAAGAGCAACGGCAGCGGGCGACGGGGUGGUGAAGAGCCUCGGGCGCGGCCUCGCCUCCGCGACCCGGCGAUCAGCACCGCGGACAGCACCGCCGCAGUUCCCCGAAG